rnacentral:rRNA from 1 species
AGAGUUCGAUUCUGGCUCAGAUUGAACGCUGGCGGCAGGCCUAACACAUGCAAGUCGAGCGGUAGAGAGAAGCUUGCUUCUCUUGAGAGCGGCGGACGGGUGAGUAAUGCCUAGGAAUCUGCCUGGUAGUGGGGGAUAACGUUCGGAAACGGACGCUAAUACCGCAUACGUCCUACGGGAGAAAGCAGGGGACCUUCGGGCCUUGCGCUAUCAGAUGAGCCUAGGUCGGAUUAGCUAGUUGGUGAGGUAAUGGCUCACCAAGGCGACGAUCCGUAACUGGUCUGAGAGGAUGAUCAGUCACACUGGAACUGAGACACGGUCCAGACUCCUACGGGAGGCAGCAGUGGGGAAUAUUGGACAAUGGGCGAAAGCCUGAUCCAGCCAUGCCGCGUGUGUGAAGAAGGUCUUCGGAUUGUAAAGCACUUUAAGUUGGGAGGAAGGGCAGUAAAUUAAUACUUUGCUGUUUUGACGUUACCGACAGAAUAAGCACCGGCUAACUCUGUGCCAGCAGCCGCGGUAAUACAGAGGGUGCAAGCGUUAAUCGGAAUUACUGGGCGUAAAGCGCGCGUAGGUGGUUUGUUAAGUUGGAUGUGAAAUCCCCGGGCUCAACCUGGGAACUGCAUUCAAAACUGACUGACUAGAGUAUGGUAGAGGGUGGUGGAAUUUCCUGUGUAGCGGUGAAAUGCGUAGAUAUAGGAAGGAACACCAGUGGCGAAAGCGACCACCUGGACUAAUACUGACACUGAGGUGCGAAAGCGUGGGGAGCAACCAGGAUUAGAUACCCUGGUAGUCCACGCCGUAAACGAUGUCAACUAGCCGUUGGAAGCCUUGAGCUUUUAGUGGCGCAGCUAACGCAUUAAGUUGACCGCCUGGGGAGUACGGCCGCAAGGUUAAAACUCAAAUGAAUUGACGGGGGCCCGCACAAGCGGUGGAGCAUGUGGUUUAAUUCGAAGCAACGCGAAGAACCUUACCAGGCCUUGACAUCCAAUGAACUUUCUAGAGAUAGAUUGGUGCCUUCGAGAACAUUGAGACAGGUGCUGCAUGGCUGUCGUCAGCUCGUGUCGUGAGAUGUUGGGUUAAGUCCCGUAACGAGCGCAACCCUUGUCCUUAGUUACCAGCACGUAAUGGUGGGCACUCUAAGGAGACUGCCGGUGACAAACCGGAGGAAGGUGGGGAUGACGUCAAGUCAUCAUGGCCCUUACGGCCUGGGCUACACACGUGCUACAAUGGUCGGUACAGAGGGUUGCCAAGCCGCGAGGUGGAGCUAAUCCCAUAAAACCGAUCGUAGUCCGGAUCGCAGUCUGCAACUCGACUGCGUGAAGUCGGAAUCGCUAGUAAUCGCGAAUCAGAAUGUCGCGGUGAAUACGUUCCCGGGCCUUGUACUCACCGCCCGUC